CUGGCCCUCUUUUUUGUUUUUUUAAAAUUAAUUUUAUUGGUACAUGUUAGGUAUACAAUAUAAUGACAUUCAUCAUCGGGAAGUUGCACCUUUAUGUAAUCUCCCUUGGUUCUUAUUUAUUGUAUGUUUCUUGACAGUCCAAGGUUUAGCAUAGUGGACCAAUCCAAAGGGCUCCAACUCCAACAAGGGACAAGGUGACAAAACUGGGUUAAAUUUGUGACUCAGGAACUUUCAACUGAGUCGCUACAAUAAAAUCCUGGGAUUUUUUGAGAUGUAAGUUUAGUUUUUUGUAAAAUGGGAAAACAAUCCCGAAUUUACAGAGUGGAGGUGAGGAUGAAAUGAGGACGUACGUGUUUACUAAAUGGACAAAUGAACAGUGAGUGGCCAGACCCUAUGGAAGAGAGCUGCGACCUCCGCUGACAGCCAUACGCCCAGAAGACCAAUCUCCGUGCUAGAGCAACUAGUCCAGGGGCCAUCCUGCUGUAGGCCUGUGUAGCUACGCUGGUAUCUCUGGUAAGAAUCCAAGAAGCUACACGAUAACUCCACUAACCAUGUAACCAGAACUUAAUCAGUAACUGAGAGCAUCCCUCAUUUACAUCCCUACUUCCAACUUUGGACCAACAGAGAGCCACAAAUGAAGCCCCUAACCAAUUACAUGGGAUGUUUUGCUUUGAGCCUACAGCUUCCCCAGACUGGAAAGGCCUCCAAUCAGAGAACCUGAACCUUUUUCUCUACUGUGAAGAUUUCCCAGCCCUCUGCCUUGCUUUGAAUCUCUACUAAAUGCAAGUGACCGUGGCUGACUCCCUGCCUAUAGCAAACCCUGCUUAAAGAGCCUUUGCUCAUUCUCAUUUGGAUGGUCUUGGACGUUUCUGCAGUGUAAACAGACCUAUCAUGGUGACUUAUAUGUUGCCAUCAACUAUGCCAUGAACAAUUUCCUAUGUCACCUUCUUCCACUGUGAUGUUUCUGCCUUGGAGUUAGCUAACCAAGGACUGAAUUACCUGAAACCAUGAGCCAAAUUAAUCUCCUCCCCCUUUAAGAGACACGGAGCAGUAAGAAUGAUAGAUGCAGGAGCCCGAGCAAAGGCGAGGUGUGCAGAGCUUCAAAAGGAGAUGGUCAGCCCUGUCCAGACCCCUGUAUGCUGUGUAUCUGGAGAACAGAGGAGAUGCUGGAGAAUUUGUGAAAAGCUGCAGGUGAUCUACAGAGAGGAACAGGUGGACAUGGGGGAGAUUCCUUGGGUUGAAUCACUCAGAAUUUAUACUAUGAAUCACAUUUGGAAAUUGGAUGCAAAUGAAAGCUAAUUACCAUAUUCAAAAAAUCAGAACCAUUUGAAAAAUUGGAUUCUGUUGUAGGCUUCCUAGGGGUUUGCUGUUGAUUUUAUUGUUUAAUUUUGCAUUUUCCCCUGCAGAGUCAUAACAUUUUACUUUCAGCUAGAGUUUAUUCCAGAGAUCUGUGUCUGGAUUCCAGCAGCAGCUAUUGUGUUCAUGGAGAGACUUUAAGAAGUCUGCUACCCACUGAUACUGUAUGUAAAAUAUAUAAUUUUGAGUCUAAAGCUUUCUUCAGAUUCUCAAAAAAGUCUGGAAUGUAGCACCUUUCUUCUACCUUCCCCAAGUACAGGUUGACUAGACUAUACUUCUUUUCUUUUUUUAAUUGAGUUCAUUGGUACAUUUUAGAUAUACAAUAUGAUGAGAUUUUUCAUUGGAAAUUUGUACCUUUACAUAAUAUAUCUUGGUUUUUAUUUUUUCCCUAUUCCCCUGCCCUCCCUUCAUAUACGUGCAAAGUGGGCUUUCUUUGGAGAAAACAGCUGUCCCAAGUUGACACUGCAGCUGGGAUAUGAAGUCAGCCUUCUAUCCUGGUUCUAAAAUUAUGAUUGUUUUAGUGAAGUGCAAGACUUCACUAAAGGUCAGAGAGCUGACGUCCUCUGUGAGUAGGGUGCUAUGUGAGCACAGACUCCUAAGGUGAUUAAGACUUUCUCCCGAGCCUCCAGGAAACCUAGAAGACCAUGGUUAUCCAGAAGCGCCUUUGGGGCUCCCUUUGCUACAAGUGUUUGGGGCUUCACUGCCUUCCAAAUAAGAAACCCCUAUUUGCACAAGGUGCUUGGGAAGCAAGCAUUCUACUUUCAAAGCCCUAAUAAUAAAAGCAGGGCAGGGAAAACUAGAAAAUAAUUACUAUGACAACUGGGUUGCACUACACUAGCUGAAAGAGGGGUGCCUCCCUCCUUGACCAUCACAAUUUUGAUACUUUUAGGAGACACAAACAUAAGCACAUUUCUGCCCCAAAGAGCAACUUCCUGUCUUUUUCACCAGGUACAAGAUUGCUAGGUCUCUAUCUAAACUGCACUUAGUUGACCAGUUUCUACUUUGUUUCUUGGUAAAGGCAUGAUAUGGGUCUGAAAAUAGGGAUGGUAUCCCUGUGAGGCGAAUCCUGAGGUGUGAGUCUUCUCUCGAAUAUUAACUGCCAGUGGAGGCCAGAAUCAGGAACAGAGUUUAUGUUCUCCUUCAUAUUGUCAGCAUAACUCCACAGUUAGAAAAACCUAGAGAUUAUUUGAGUUUCAUUUACCUACAUGCUUUGAAAAAUGGUGUACUGUCUUGAGUUGUUCUUAAGAUUUUAUUUGCAUUUCUGUUUCUCAGCCAAUGAAUAGGGCAAAUGAAGAGGGAUUUAAGACUGGCUCAGUUCUUUGCAUAUCUUGCUUUGGACGCAGUUAAGAACCUGAAAUCUCCUGUGUUUAGCUAAGGGCACUUAGGAACCAUGCCCUCAGCUCAUCACUGACUGAGGGUCUACUUUAAGGACUCUGAUAAAAACUACACUUGAAUAAUGACCAUCCAGCUGCUGUUCUGCAAAAGCUCAUGGUCUUGUUGGAAAGAUGGACACACCCAGCAUGGAAACAGCGCAGUGAGUAACUGCAAUGAUAGAGAUUAGAAUAGGAAGUUAUGGUCCAGUAAGUAGUGGUGGGGAAUAGCUGUCCAGAAAAGAGACUUAAAUCACUAUGGGAGAAGAUUUUCUUGCAAAUUGAUGUCACAUCGACUCUAAAGGGUGACAGGAAGAUAGGUGGAAGCAUUCACAAGCAGAGAGGAGGUGAAAACCAGAGAGUGGGGACUGUGAUUGCGAGGCGUUCCACUCUGUGAGGGGUGUAAAAGGAAAGUGGUAGGAAGACUUGAGACCGGGGUGAGGGAAUAACACGCCUCAUCUCCUCCCUGCUGAUGUGAGUACUGUUAAGUUUAUGGGUGACACAGAGAAAUUCAGGUUUUUAUUAGACCCAUGACCUGGAGAGACUAAAUGUAGGGGGUCUAAUUAGGAAGCCCUGGGAUCCACAGUUUUUAAUGCAGCCACAGGUCAUGGUGAGCAAGAAGAAAGGGCCAAUUGACAUUAUCAUUGUAGAAAGGGACAACUGACAUUAGCAUGGUAGUAGUACCAUCUAGUCUGGAGAUGAGGGAUAAGAAAAACCUAGAAGGCCUCUCCUGAUCCGAGACAGAGGAAGAAGAAACAGAGAAGGGCAGCUUACACAUGAUUUCAAAGUGAUUGAGAAAAGAAAAAUACAGCCCUGCGACCUUUCAUGUAUGUUACUUAAAAGGCCCAAAGGGCUGUUCUGCAGGGGUGAUGUUUCUGAUUUGAACUGGCUGAUCUCUGGAGGUCCUGAAUACAUUUCCAGAAGGAAAGUAUGACCAUCAAAGGCACACUCCAAAAUGUCUCUCAACUACCUGCAGAACACCUGGAGAUUAGGCCAGUGGACUCAUAGACAGCAGGAAUGAGGAAACACCCGGAAAUGUUAACUGCAAUGCAGAGCAUCAAAAAUGAACGCUCAGAAUCCACCCCUGGGAACAUCCGGUGGUGGAGCAAAUACGCUGUCAUGUUAAAGAACAGGGGUUUUUUAUUCAAGAUCCUGGGCUCAAAGCUAGGCUGUAAUGCACACUUUAAUUCUAACCUCUCUUUCUUUCUUUGUUGGAUGCAGGUCUCAUAUGGGCUGAAUUGUAUACUCUUAAAAUUUAUAUGCAUAAUUCUUAAUUCCCAGUACCUCAGAAUGUGACUGUAUUUGGAGUACUGCUGAACCAAGGUGAUGGAAGUGGACAUCUUUAUCUUGGGCAUAAUCUUAGAGGAAAAUCUUUCAAAUUUUCAGCAUUGUGUACAUUAGCUGCAUGUUUUCACAUAUGAUUUUAUCAAUUUUACCUCCAUAAAGCUAUCAGAAAAAGGACUGUGAUAGGAAGAUGUUUGAAAAAUUUUAGCCAGAAUUGCAAGCACAGGAGCCUGAGCCCCUUCAAGACAAGAGCUCUACCUUUUGUGUCUGUUUGCAGCUUGUGGUGUGUCUGAACUGCCUACAGCACUUACUUUGCACACAGGGGCACUCUUGAGAGUCCGGUGGAUAACUGCCUCUGUACAGUAGGCUCAACCCGGGCCAUCCUAGGCAAACAGAAGAACUUUGCUCCAGACAUAUAUUUUCCAAGAUUAUAUCACUUUGAGCCAACUCUUUGAACUCCAGACAGAACUUGAAACAGUUGCUGAGCUAGCCAGCAGUUGACAGCUGGGGACGUUUGAGCUUUUUCAUGCAGUGGCAAUUGGGAGACCUUAUCAUUGUGCAUUAUUGGAUUGUGGCUGUGCAAAAAACCAGGCAUGUGUGAGAUGAGAUAUUCCCUCUCCAUCCAGGGAAUGACAAAACCAUCUCAGGAGGAGGUUGAUAUGCGCGUCUGUUGGCAGAGAUCUUUCCUGGCAUUCUGGAGAUUUCUGGGGUGUACAUACUGAGGUCACAUCAGAAUAUCUGCAGAAAUAAAAGCAAAAAGCAGCCAGACAAGAAAAGUGAGAAGAAGUGGAUGUCCCUGCUGGAGACAAUGACUAAUUUAAGCAAGGUGGCACUCUCAUAGCCCAAAUGGACCAAGACACCUGCUGUUCCUUACUUGUUUGUCUGCUGCUCUGAAAGGACAAUCAAUGCGAAGACAAAUGUGUUUACCUUGAGGAGGCUAGAAACAUACAAAAUGCCUGCUGAGCUCAAAUGUGUGGACUUGCUUCCUCCCCAUAAGGAAGCAGGACCCUCUGGUCUGAACUAUAAACUGAGCUCAAUUGUUGCAGGGGAAACUGCAGUGAAGGCGAAACACAUGUCUGAGUCACAGAAGCACACAGAUUAAGAAGUUUGAUAAAUCAGGUGACUGUGAACAACACAGACUUUAAGCCCUCAAUUCCACUUUUAGACUGUGACGGCGGAGGUAUGGACUCACCCAACCUGACGUUGUAAGAGAAGGGAGACAGAGCAAGAGACAUGGAGAAGAAUUUCCCUGGGCCUUGAACAUGCACAGGAGCAGAAGUUCAGGAUCAGUGAUGCCAGGUCGGAGAUAAGAAGUAGAUGCCAAGAAAUAGAGCUGAAGAAACCAAGGCAUAGAAAGUUUGAAUCUUGGACCCACGAUCACAUAGGAAAUCAGAGGAAACAACAGAAAGCUUGGACGUGCUCUGCCUCUAUCCCUCUCUGUCAGCAGCUCUUGCCAGAGCCCAGUGAUGCUGGCUGCACAUACAAAGGCGCUGCAGAUCAAUUUGUGGUGUUAAAGUGCUCAUGCCCUUUCCGGAGGAGCAUUGCCUUGAAUAUUUAACAGGGCAGAAACCCAUCAGAUUCAAGUUCUCUGGAUGGUGCUCGCCCAACACCUAUGGACAGGCACAAUAUUUCAAUGGUUUCAAGAAGGUAUCCUGGGAGAAGUGAACUGAAAUAUGGAGGAUGCCUUGGAAGAGGAAGGAGCUAGAAGAGAGCAUGGUGAAGUCUGUGGCCAGAGUGCUGUGGAUGGAGAAGGGAUGGAAGGAGGGAAUUCAGAAUUUCAGCGUCCCAGGAAAGCUUCGGUGUGCUAAAAGAGAAUGGAAGCAUUGAGAGCGUUUCACACGGCUCAGGAACCCUCCAAGAGGCGACGCCAGUUCUCCACGACAGUUACCUGUUCAACGGAACUUAACUAACACACCUGUGUAUCAUCCCUGCAACAUACACGUUCCGAGGAGGUGAUGAGAAAUGACCAGGAAGACACUUCACACUCAGUAGGCUAAGGUAGCCCAAGAUUAGGAAACCUCUAUCUUUCAAGGAAGACUGCUGGGAAACAUCCCAACAUUUACUCCAAAGGGAGGCAUUGCAUCUGUCCUGGUCCUGACCAACAAAUCUUUCCUCUCGUCUGGAGGAAGACACUAGCUCUGUGUUCUAAGGCUGUUUGCAAUACAAAUAUCCUUCAAAGGCUAGAGCAAUACUUGGUACAAGACAGGCAGAAAUGAGAGAGAUGUGUCUUGCUGCAAGGGAGAUGGCAGCAGCAAUGCUGCCGGUGGUGGUAUCUGGUACCCUGUGUCCCAGUGACUGCUCUGAAAUUAGAGCAAGGUGCUGCAGCCAAAACUUCAGCGGAUCUGUCCAGGCCUUCCCAAUUCCCUUUGCGGAGCAGAACUAGCAGCCCAGGAUUCAGCUGUAUUUUCUGAGCCAGCAGAUGAUGUUGGUGGAAGUAAGGAGAAUUCCUCCCUUUUGGAUGGCAGCUCCCCUAAAGAGAUAUGUUAUUGAAGUUAACCUGCAUAGGAAAAGAAACCCUCAGAAGCUUAUUAAAGUGAAGAACAAAAUUGAUGUUUGUCCCGAAUGUAGCCUGAAAGGGAAACAUACCCUUUCAGGUAUGCUAUGAGAAAGUGUGCAAGGAGACUGCAGAAAUCAGAGGACAGAUGGGGAAACCCAGGGGACUGUGGUCCCCCACAGCAGAGACGAUGGCCCUGCAGACGGGAGAGACCCAGUCUGAACACCACUCAGACAAGAGCAAUGUCGACAGAGACAGGAAUAGGCUGUUCUGGUUCACCCAGGACUGACACCAAAGAUGCUGAAAGGAUAACUCCGCAGGAAAAUAUUUCUUGUGAAACAGAGAAGGAAUCUUUGUUUUUAUGUUGUUGUGCUUGUUUUUAAACUAUCAAUCUGGUUUAAAUUGUAACUUGUAAGCAGUUAAUUUUGUGUGGGAUAAUUUGAAGCAUAUAUCAUGGGGGAACCUUGAAAAUGUCUAUGCAAAAGUUCAAUGGAUUAAUGUCUGUUUAUACCACACUGUCCAGUUUCAAAUAAACGUAACAUUUUUCAGAACAACAUUUUUUUAAAAAAACUCACCGUAAGAAAAAGAAAGAAACAUGAGAGUUGCAUGGAAGAUUAGCCCCCAAAACUAUUAAUGAAUUGUUAAAAUUGUAUGAGAAAAUUUCCUGUGCAGUAUCUACUAUAGAGAAGAAAAUGAAUACAUUUUUCAUGAGUAAAUGGAUAAAUAAAAGAAUGAAUGAACAUAUGAUAGAUACUGGGAUGCAAAUGACUAGAAAUGUGUAACAUAGAAAAAUGGGAAAAUAGUUAUUACCUUUGGC
rnacentral:lncRNA from 1 species